UGGGCGGCGUGCUAUACAUGCAAGUCGAGCGCAGGAAGUUAUCUGAUCCUUUUCGGAGGUGACGAUAAUGGAAUGAGCGGCGGACGGGUGAGUAACACGUAGGCAACCUGCCUGUAAGACUGGGAUAACUCGUGGAAACGCGAGCUAAUACCGGAUAACACUUUUCAUCUCCUGAUGAGAAGUUGAAAGGCGGCUUUUGCUGUCACUUACAGAUGGGCCUGCGGCGCAUUAGCUAGUUGGUAAGGUAACGGCUUACCAAGGCGACGAUGCGUAGCCGACCUGAGAGGGUGAUCGGCCACACUGGGACUGAGACACGGCCCAGACUCCUACGGGAGGCAGCAGUAGGGAAUCUUCCGCAAUGGACGAAAGUCUGACGGAGCAACGCCGCGUGAGUGAUGAAGGUUUUCGGAUCGUAAAACUCUGUUGUUAGGGAAGAACAAGUGCCAUAGUAACUGAUGGCACCUUGACGGUACCUAACCAGAAAGCCACGGCUAACUACGUGCCAGCAGCCGCGGUAAUACGUAGGUGGCAAGCGUUGUCCGGAAUUAUUGGGCGUAAAGCGCUCGCAGGCGGUUCUUUAAGUCUGAUGUGAAAUCUUACGGCUCAACCGUAAACGUGCAUUGGAAACUGGAGGACUUGAGUGCAGAAGAGGAGAGUGGAAUUCCACGUGUAGCGGUGAAAUGCGUAGAGAUGUGGAGGAACACCAGUGGCGAAGGCGACUCUCUGGUCUGUAACUGACGCUGAGGAGCGAAAGCGUGGGGAGCGAACAGGAUUAGAUACCCUGGUAGUCCACGCCGUAA
rnacentral:rRNA from 1 species